AUUGAACGCUGGCGGCAUGCCUUACACAUGCAAGUCGAACGGCAGCACGGGUGCUUGCACCUGGUGGCGAGUGGCGAACGGGCGAGUAAUACAUCGGCACAUGUCCUGUAGUGGGGGAUUGCCCGGCGAAAGCCGGAUUAAUACCGCAUACGAUCUACGGAUGCCAGCGGGGGCCCUUCGGGUCUCGCGCUAUAGGGAUGGCCGAUGGCUGAUUAGCUAGUGGGUGGGGUAAAGGCCUACCAAGGCGACGAUCAGUAGCUGGUCUGAGAGGACGACCAGCCACACUGGGACUGAGACACGGCCCAGACUCCUACGGGAGGCAGCAGUGGGGAAUUUUGGACAAUGGGCGAAAGCCUGAUCCAGCAAUGCCGCGUGUGUGAAGAAGGCCUUCGGGUUGUAAAGCACUUUUGUCCGGAAAGAAAACCUUGGCCCUAAUACGGUCGGGGGAUGACGGUACCGGAAGAAUAAGCACCGGCUAACUACGUG
rnacentral:rRNA from 1 species